CUGUAGAGGCCGGAAAAGUAGACGCGACCUUCCUUGCGACCUGUGGUUUAUUUAUUCUUGUCUGCGUCGUCCCUCUCCUUCGUAGCCCCAACCCCGCCUCCGUUGCCUCCCGUACGAGCCCGCCGUCUGCGCCAUCGCAGCCAGCACAGGUGAUUGUUCCUCCCUUGCUCUCUCCAUCUCUAUCUCUUUCUCGAUCUCUUUCUUCUUUCCUUGGAGCGAGUUGGAGGAUCAGAGGGAAAGGAACGCCAUCUGAAUAACGGGCACUCGAUCUUCGUCUCUGUGAGUAGGGAAAGCCUCCGCGGAUUGUGGAGACCGGGAGAAUGGAAGGGGGGAAGGGCUGCAGCGGGGCGUGGGUCACGGGCACGCCGAUUCCUCUGCAGGCCAACCAGCAGCCACCCCCCUACUUCCCCCCGUCGGGUCCCGGCCACAUGAAUCACCCCUACGGCGCCGCUCCCUCCCGAGAAGCGUAUCCCUUUGCACCUGCCUCCGCCGCCGCCGCCCAAGGGCCAAAUCCGUAUGUGCCUGCCGGCGCCCAUGGAGCCAAUCCUUACGUGCAGANNNNNNNN
rnacentral:lncRNA from 1 species